rnacentral:rRNA from 1 species
GGCAACCCCGACGCAGCGACGCCGCGUGGAUGAUGAAGGCCUUCGGGUCGUAAAAUCCUGUCAGAUGGAAAGAAAUGCAUAGGUGUUAAUAUCAUUUAUGUUUGACGGUACCAUCAAAGGAAGCACCGGCUAAAUCCGUGCCAGCAGCCGCGGUAAUACGGAGGGUGCAAGCGUUGUUUGGAAUUACUGGGCGUAAAGCGCGCGUAGGCGGUUUUAUAAGUCAGAUGUGAAAGUCCACGGCUCAACCGUGGAAGUGCAUUUGAAACUGUAUUACUUGAGUUCUGGAGGGGGUGGUGGAAUUUCCGGUGUAGAGGUGAAAUUUGUAGAUAUUGGGAGGAAAACCGGUGGGGAAGGGGGCCCCCUGGCCAGAUACUGACGGUGAGGUGCGAAAGCGUGGGGAGCAAACCGGAUUAGAUACCCUGGUAGUUC